rnacentral:hammerhead_ribozyme from 1 species
GUACUAAGGAAGAGUCCAAAACUAGGACGAAACAGCUGUCCAGUAC